rnacentral:misc_RNA from 1 species
GAUGAAGAACGUAGCGAAAUGCGAUAAGUAAUGUGAAUUGCAGAAUUCAGUGAAUCAUCGAAUCUUUGAACGCACAUUGCGACCCUUGGUAUUCCGAGGGGCAUGCCUGUUCGAGCGUCAUUAUAACCCCUCAAGCUCAGCUUGGUGUUGGGGCCUGCUGCACUGGCAGCCCUUAAAAUCAGUGGCGGCGCCAUCUGGCUCUAAGCGUAGUAAUUCUUCUCGCCAUGGAGUCCUGGUGGAUGCUUGCCAUCAACCCCCAAUUUUUCUAUGGUUGACCUCGGAUCAGGUAGGGAUACCCGCUGAACUUAAGCAUAUCAAUAAGCGGAGGA